AGUCGGACUUGGGUGGGCAAUGAGCCCAGGAGAGGCCGGGGAGGGCAAGCUGCGCAGGAGUUGGCCGAGGAGUUAGCCGGCCCCUGUCCCUCUCGUCUGUUUGUUUAAUGCAGCCACUCACUCAGCACCCGCUCAUUGGGGGUCCACCUCGUUUCAGGUGCCCUGCUAGGGAUGCAGCGCGGAAGACCAUGAACACCGCCACCUUCGUGAAGCUUAAGGUCUAGUGGCCACAGGCAUCAAGGACGGCAACAGACACUACCAGGGCGUGCUCACGUCAUUCAGCAAAGGCGUCAGUCGGGGGCAAGAAGCAGACGUGGGGAACUUGAGGAGCGUCUAAUUUACAAAGAAAUUCAAAAAUACCAGCUGUGCGUACAGUCUAUGCAGGGUACGUAGAUGGUUAAUUGUGGGAAGUGGC